rnacentral:misc_RNA from 1 species
CCGCCGCCUUCGUUUCUCUUUCUUCGUUUGGACGUCCGCCGCGUUUACCGGGCCUGUAGCUCAGUUGGUUAGAGCGCGCGCUUGAUAAGCGUGAGGUCGAAAGUUCAAAUCUUUCCAGGCCCACCACUUCCAAGGUGGUCGGGUGUUCUGCCAAGAGCAUCGCCUGGAAGGGUGGUCGAGCCGCACCUGCUGACGGCACGUGGUGUCUGUAAGGGGCCAUAGCUCAGUUGGGAGAGCGCCUGCUUUGCAAGCAGGAGGUCGUCGGUUCGAUCCCGUCUGGCUCCACCAGACGAUCGCCAGGCCCAGAGACGUCCAAAAUCGAAGAGUACGAAAUUCCGUCACACACUGUGUGGCGGCAUGCUUGACAUCGUAAAGAAGGGAUACGCCCGAGACGCUGAACAGCUCUACCUAUUCUGUUCAGGUCGUCCGCAGGCAUCAUGCCGCGAGGGCCUGGCGCAAGCUAGGCAUGAGGCAUCGGUGCUGUUUGGAUCGGAGCUAGCUUAACCGCAGGCUCCAUGAUUGGGUUUAUCUCGAUGCAACUGGUCUUUCUAUGGCGGUGUUCACCGUGCCGAGAAGGAGCAGGAAGGACGUCGCGCCUCCAAAGCGCGAUGGUUCGUCCGGCUUUCUCAGGUGGGCAUUGCUAAUGAGAGCGAUCAAGUGUCUUAAGGGCAUUCCGGAGGAUGCCUUGGCGGCAAGAGGCGAUGAAGGACGUGGUACGCUGCGAUAAGCUACGGUUAGCUGCGAACAGGCUUUGACCCGUAGAUUUCCGAAUGGGGAAACCCGG